CCUGCCUUGGAGUGGGGAAUAACAGCUGGAAACAGCUGCUAAUACCGCAUGAUGCAGUUGAGUCGCAUGGCUCUGACUGCCAAAGAUUUAUCGCUCUGAGAUGGACUCGCGUCUGAUUAGCUAGUUGGUGGGGCAACGGCCCACCAAGGCGACGAUCAGUAGCCGGACUGAGAGGUUGGCCGGCCACAUUGGGACUGAGACACGGCCCAGACUCCUACGGAAGGCAGCAG
rnacentral:rRNA from 1 species